CUGGAAUGUGGAGGGGUGGUAACAGUCCUCACUGCAGAGCCUGGAUGUUUUGUGAUGUCUGACUAAUGCUGCUAGGAGAGGACAUAGGAAAGAAAAGAGUUAUCCAACUUACAGGAAGCAAAGAAGAUAUGAUUGCAAAGGGCUGGCACUGCUUAUGGUUUAAAGACAGACACAAUUUAGAUACCAGUGAGAUCCCAUUGCAGAGUGUAAUGAAACAAAGCAACACUCCUAUCACCAGAGUGCUACAGGUUUCUGAGGGGUGUGCAGAAGAAAUGCAGUACUGAAAUGAGUGAAGGAAGAAUAUGCAGCGUGUAAACAGAGCAAAGCAAUGCAGAGAUUUAGGAACUUGCUGUCUUUUUUUGUAGCCUUAUUGUUUUGCAGUUGAGGCUGAAGAAAAUGAUAUUUUUAUAAGAAUAAUUCUAAUCCAAGAAAGCUAAAGAAUAGUAAAGAAAAAUACCAAAAGCAGAAAUGGCAUAAGUCCUGAGGUUAUGUUUAACCUUUUUGGAGACUUACUCAUCUUCUACAUGACUGUACAGCCAAGUCCUAAAACAUGAACAGUGACAAUGAAUAUUUUGUGCAUUGUUCUCUGAUCCUGUCAAUUAGAAUUUCGCACAUUCCAUGGAUCUGUUGUCUCGAUUCACUCCUGGUUUUGAACUUUUUCAGUUCACGUGCUUCCUUACUUUACAAGUUCUGAACUCCUGAUGAAUGGCUUGUAACCUUUCAAGCAUCCCUUUGAAGUACCCACUGAAGCAGAGGUGAGAAACCUUACGACUGUUGUUCUACAGUGUGUUUUCAAGUCUUAUUUAGGUAAAGAAUAGUGUCUAUCUGACAUACUUUAGUGAUAUUAAUACUUUAAAACUGGUUUACAACCAGCAGGAAUUCACAUUACCUGAGCCAUCACCAGGACUGGAACAUUCAUUAGUGUUUCCACAAGACAAUAUACAAAAUCACUACAGUGAUAAAAGAAGGUAAAAGUAAAUAAUGAGCACUUAAAAUAUAUAUCAGACUGAACAGGAGAGUGAUGCUUUCUGACUACAGGAGAAAUUCUGUGGGCCAAAGGAGGGUGUCUGAUCCCUAGUGGUGCUCAUUUUGGACUUUAGCACUCUUACUUGAAUUCCCACCUGUGUGUUCUUAGGUCAUGUAUAGUAUGAUACGUAUCAGACUUUAAUCUAAACUACAUAGCAGGAGAUCCAUCUGUUCACUUCUAGAGAUGUAAGAAAAAAGUUUGGGAACUGCAGCUUCUUUGUGUUUUUCUAGUGUUGCAGACAGCCAUCAUAAAACAUGAAUAAAACACAGUGUGACAUUUGUACGAUAUCA
rnacentral:lncRNA from 1 species